CACAGUGCAGUUCAGUGGUAGAGCAUAUGCUUUGCAUGUAAAAGGUUCCAGGUUCAAACCCUAGCAUUUCCAGGUGG